GGAUCCUGGCUCAGGAUGAACGCUAGCGACAGGCUUAACACAUGCAAGUCGAGGGGCAUCAUGAGGUAGCAAUACCUUGAUGGCGACCGGCGCACGGGUGAGUAACGCGUAUGCAACCUGCCUGAUACCGGGGUAUAGCCCAUGGAAACGUGGAUUAACACCCCAUAGUACUUUUAUCCUGCCUGGGAUGGGAGUUAAAUGUUCAAGGUAUCGGAUGGGCAUGCGUCCUAUUAGUUAGUUGGG
rnacentral:rRNA from 1 species